CCGGCACGGUGAGUAACACGUAUCCAACCUGCCGUCUACUCUUGGACAGCCUUCUGAAGGAAGAUUAAUACAAGAUGGCAUCAUGAGUCCGCAUGUUCACAUGAUUAAAGGUAUUCCGGUAGACGAUGGGGAUGCGUUCCAUUAGGUUGUUGGCGGGGUAACGGCCCACCAAGCCUUCGAUGGAUAGGGGUUCUGAGAGGAAGGUCCCCCACAUUGGAACUGAGACACGGUCCAA
rnacentral:rRNA from 1 species